CGUAAAGUUCGGGAGUGCCGUUAAAAGUAUCGCGCGUAAAAGUGCGGGAGUGCCGUUAAAAGUGUCGCGCGUAUUAAUCAAUGAACAACCCUAACAAUCUGAGAGGAGGAGGAGGCCUAGGAGAGGUAUCGGGUGCCGGUAGAGCAACUCUAGGGCAUACGAUUAUAGACUUGUAGCAUUCUUCGAAAUCGAUGAUGCAUGUAAACAACUAUCGUGAGGCACACGAGAAUUUUUUAUUGAAAUCGUCUUGCUUCAUCAACUCAAAAUAAGGAAAUAUCUCUAGGCGGUAUCUCAGGCAACAUGGUGCUCCAGUGAAUGUAGUCGACCUUCUAAUUAUGGAUACGGAAAAUGUAUGUAUAUACGUCACUGCUGUCUGCUUAAUUUUACAUCCUCGAGCACAUCGGUGAAAAAUGUCAUCUCAUCGGACUGGUAUCGACUAUCGUUGAGGGUGGAUAUUGGAGAACGAAUAAAGAACUAAAACAGGGAUACGGAAAAUUAACAUCGAUAAACAGAAAGAGAGAGAGAGAGAAAGUUGCUCGCCAUGCUCUCGUUGAUUUUGACAAAGAUGAUGCUUCGUGAUCUGUCAUGUCACGGAUCUCUCAUCACGCGCCGAUCGUCUCCGUGGCGGAGGUUUCUCGAGGAAGCUGGAAGAAACGAAACAUCCCCUAAACAGGUGAUACGAGAACUAUAUCUUCCUCGUUCGGGAGGCAGCGUUUAAUUUAACAGGAUGAACCGAUCGAAUGUUCGAUUUGACAUUUCGCGAUGUCGGUAUGUAAACGCAUACGUACGACGUCGCGGGACGUCGACAGGAACCGAAGGGUGGCUGGAACCGGAUGCGUUCUCGCUAUCCUCGCCUUUUUCGCGCACACAAACGGUCCGCACGACGAUCAAUUAAUUUACCGUGCCGGAUCUUCGCGCACGCGGCACUCGAUGCCUCGGGAUGACCGAGACGCGGAGGAGAGCCCCGUGUUCUCGCAGAGACGUUCUCCACUUUUCGACGCUUCCGUGUCCGAGAGGCCACUGACAGAACUCCGAGAUCUUCCGUCCUGCUCGACCGUCCCUCGUCCGACCCCGUCGUACCAUUCACUCUCACGCUCUGUCCCUCUCUCUCGUUAGGAUUGUCAGGAAGGAGGCCGUGGCACGGAGAGGGUGCGCGAUGUGGAAGCGGGAGAGAGUGAGAGGCUUUAUCGACCCGUCACAGGGCCGGUCGAGAGGAGGGAACCCCGUGGCUUCGAGAAAUUCAGAUUUUAUUUCAAGUGACAAACAAUGGGGAGAUUCGUGAAUAAGCUACUGAAGAAGAAACUGAUGAAAAACUUCAUUUUAGAUAACCAUUCAAUCAUUUUUGGUGCAUUAGAGUAAAUGGAAAAUUUUCAAAUUGAUCGAGAGGUUUUA